CCCAGACUCCUACGGGAGGCAGCAGUGGGGAAUAUUGGACAAUGGGGGGAACCCUGAUCCAGCGACGCCGCGUGAGUGAAGAAGUAUUUCGGUAUGUAAAGCUCUAUCAGCAGGGAAGAAAGAAAUGACGGUACCUGACUAAGAAGCCCCGGCUAACUACGUGCCAGCAGCCGCGGUAAUACGUAGGGGGCAAGCGUUAUCCGGAUUUACUGGGUGUAAGGGGAGCGUAGACGGCGAUGCAAGUCUGAAGUGAAAGGCGGGGGCCCAACCCCCGGACUGCUUUGGAAACUGUUUGACUGGAGUGCAGGAGAGGUAAGUGGAAUUCCUAGUGUAGCGGUGAAAUGCGUAGAUAUUAGGAGGAACACCAGUGGCGAAGGCGGCUUACUGGACUGUAACUGACGUUGAGGCCCGAAAGCGUGGGGAGCAAACAGGAUUAGAUACCCGUGUA
rnacentral:rRNA from 1 species